rnacentral:tRNA from 2 species
UCCUCUAUAGUUCAGUCGGUAGAACGGCGGACUGUUAAUCCGUAUGUCACUGGUUCGAGUCCAGUCAGAGGAGCCA